rnacentral:rRNA from 1 species
UACGUAGGCAGCAAGCGUUGUUCGGAGUUACUGGGCGUAAAGAGUGCGUAGGUGGUGCCCUAAGUCUGUUGUGAAAUCUCCCGGCUUAACUGGGAGGGUGCGGUGGAAACUGGGGUGCUUGAGUGUGCGAGAGGUGAGCGGAAUUCCUGGUGUAGCGGUGAAAUGCGUAGAUAUCAGGAGGAACACCGGUGGUGUAGACGGCUUACUGGACCACGACUGACACUGAGGCACGAAAGCGUGGGUAGCAAACAGG